AAGUCGUAACAAGGUUUCCGUAGGUGAACCUGCGGAAGGAUCAUUAAUGAAGUCUGACUCCUAACCGAGUCCUACCUCUUACCCACACCCUUGUGAAUUUAUCUGUUGCUUUGGCGAGUUGUCGGUCGAAAGGCCUAGGAGAUCUGGGAAACCGGAUCUCAGAGCAUUUCCUCUUCUGGAGGGAAGGUUCCCCUCGCCAGAGGUUUAUCAAAACCCUUUGUAUUUUUGAGUCUGAAUCCAAUAAAAAAAACUUGACAUAAAAG
rnacentral:misc_RNA from 1 species